AAUGAACGUUGGCGGCUGGAUUAGGCAUGCAAGUCGAGCGAGGAAAGUGGUAGCAAUACUUCUUAUUCGAGCGGCGUAAGGGGCAGUAAUACCUGGGAACGUACCCUCGGGUCGGGGAUAGCUGCUAGAAAUGGCGAGUAAUACCCGAUGAUCUCGAGAGAGCAAAGGCUUGCCGCCCAAGGAGCGGCCCAGGCGAUAUUAGCUAGUUGGUGAGGUAAAGGCUUACCAAGGCAUAGAUGUCUAGCGGGUGUGAGAGCACGACCCGCGCCACUGGCACUGAGACACUGGCCAGACACCUACGGGUGGCUGCAGUCGAGAAUCUUCGGCAAUGAGCGCAAGCUUGACCGAGCGACGCCGCGUGCGGGAUGAAGGCCUUCGGGUUGUAAACCGCUUUGGUCCGAGAGAAAGGGCAACUUGAUCGAUCGGAGAAACAAGGACGGGCUAAGUUCGUG
rnacentral:rRNA from 1 species